ensembl:snoRNA
CUGCAUCCACUGACAGACCUUGGACAGUUUGCUGUUGUUUUUUUUUUUGGUUUGCUCUGGGGAUGCAAAAGAGGGAAAUCCCGGCACUUCCUGUCUGUCUUUGUGGCAGCCUGGAUUGAAUAGGGGAAUGCAUCU